GAGAAGCAGUGAGAGUUGGUGUGGGGAAGCCCAGGAUAUUUUUGCACAAACCACUUGUUCAAAGCCUGUUCUGAAGGAGCCUGACCCGCACAGGGAAGGAGAACUCAAGAGUCACAAGACCUCACUAGGCCCUGGGGUGCGGUCCUAGGCGACCAGAAUUCAGCAGUUCCUCCUACUGCUUGGCAGCAGCCCGGUCAGCAGGGGAGGCGACUGUUGGAGGAGAGCUGGGUUCCUGCCCAGACCAGGAGUGAGCGGCGGACUGCCACCCCAGACCAGGUGUGAGCAGCGGAAUGCCACCCCAGACCAGCGGACUGCCACCCCAGACCAGGAGUGAGCAGUGGACUGCCACCCAAGACCAGGUGUGAGCAGCGGACUGCCAUCCCAGACCAGCGGACUGCCACCGCAGACCAGGUGUGAGCAGCGGACUGCCACCCCAGACCAGGUGUGAGCAGCGGAAUGCCACCCCAGACCAGUGGACUGCCACCCCAGACCAGGUAUGAGCAGCGGACUGCCACCCCAGACCAGGUGUGAGCAGCGGACUGCCAUCCCAGACCAGCGGACUGCCACCCCAGACCAGGUGUGAGCAGCGGACUGCCACCCCAGACCAGGUGUGAGCAGCGGAAUGCCACCCCAGACCAGGUGUGAGCAGUGGAAUGCCACCCCAGACCAGGUGUGAGCAGCAGACUGCCACCCCAGACCAGGUGUGAGCAGCGGAAUGCCACCCCAGACCAGGUGUGAGCAGCGGAAUGCCACCCCAGACCAGGUGUGAGCAGCAGACUGCCACCCCAGACCAGGUGUGAGCAGCGGAAUGCCACCCCAGACCAGCGGACUGCCACCCCAGACCAGCGGAAUGCCACCCCAGACCAGGUGUGAGCAGCGGACUGCCACCCCAGAGCCAUGAGGUCUGCAGUCCUCUCAGCCUGGUCACUUGAUCCUCAUCCUUUCCCUUUCAGUGAGGAGGCUGUUUACUCCCAGAAAGUCAAUUGUUCCCAGAUCUCUCCCAACGGGUCACUGAGGCCCUGAGAACUCAUUCCAGACGAGUCCUGCUGGGCCCUCUCACCAAGGCUAUUCCUGAAUUCAGUCAGCAUCACACCUGAGGGGCAGAACUAUGGAGCUAGUUCUGUUCCCAUUCUUGAAGAAGGAAACUGAGGCUCAGGGAGACAGAGGAACUCUCCCAAGACUUCUCAACACAUGGGCAGAGACAGCACAGGUAUCAUUUCCCCCGAGAGACAAUCCAGUCUCUAGGACCCCAGCAUCACCUGGAAGUACCCCUUGCUAAGCCCAGCAGCGCCCCCACCCAUCUCCCUGCUUUAUGACCUGUUUUAUGAGCCAGAGGCCCGCCAGCUUCUGUGUUGCCAUGGAAACAAACCUCGAACAGAUAUCCUGGUUGCUCA